rnacentral:rRNA from 1 species
UACCAGCACCCCGAGUGGUCGGGACGAUUAUUGGGCCUAAAGCAUCCGUAGCCGGUCCUGCAAGUCUUCCGUUAAAUCCAGCUGCUUAACAGAUGGGCUGCGGAGGAUACUACAGGGCUAGGAGGCGGGAGAGGCAAGCGGUACUUUAUGGGUAGGGGUAAAAUCCGUUGAUCCAUAGAAGACCACCAGUGGCGAAGGCGGCUUGCCAGAACGCGCUCGACGGUGAGGGAUGAAAGCUGGGGGAGCAAAUCGG